rnacentral:rRNA from 1 species
UACGUAGGGUGCGAGCGUUGUCCGGAAUUACUGGGCGUAAAGAGCUCGUAGGCGGUUCGGCAAGUCGGAUGUGAAAUCUCCACGCUCAACGUGGAGGGGCCAUUCGAAACUGCCGUGCUUGAGGACUGGAGAGGAGACUGGAAUUUACGGUGUAGCGGUGAAAUGCGUAGAUAUCGUAAGGAAGACCAGUGGCGAAGGCGGGUCUCUGGACAGUUCCUGACGCUGAGGCACGAAGGUCAGGGGAGCAAACGGG